rnacentral:tRNA from 1 species
ACAUUAGUAGGACAGUGGUCAGUGCAGUCUGCCGGAAACAGAAAGGCGCGGGUUCAAUUCCCGUCCGAUGUC